rnacentral:rRNA from 1 species
GAGACCCACGCCAACAAUUGCCAGCAUAACCUUCGGGUUGAUGGGGACAUCGUUGGGACCGCCUCUGCUAAAGGGGAGGAAGGAAUGGGCAACGGUAGGUCAGCAUGCCCCGAAUUAUCCGGGCUACACGCGGGCUACAAUGGUUGGGACAAUGGGUUCCGACACCGAAAGGUGAAGGCAAUCUCCUAAACCCAUCCGAAGUUCGGAUUGCGGGUUGUAACUCACCCGCAUGAAGCUGGAAUCCGUAGUAAUCGCGUUUCACCAUAGCGCGGUGAAUAU